rnacentral:rRNA from 1 species
CACGUAGGGCGCGAGCGUUGUCCAGAAUUAUUGGGCGUAAAGAGCUCGUAGGCGGUUUGUCGCGUCUGCCGUGAAAGUCCGGGGCUCAACUCCGGAUCUGCGGUGGGUACGGGCAGACUAGAGUGAUGUAGGGGAGACUGGAAUUCCUGGUGUAGCGGUGAAAUGCGCAGAUAUCAGGAGGAACACCGAUGGCGAAGGCAGGUCUCUGGGCAUUAACUGACGCUGAGGAGCGAAAGCAUGGGGAGCGAACAGG